UACAGAGGGUGCGAGCGUUAAUCGGAAUUACUGGGCGUAAAGCGUGCGUAGACGGUAGCGUAAGUCAGAUGUGAAAGCCCCGGGCUCAACCUGGGAAUUGCAUUUGAGACUGCUCUGCUCGGGUGCGGAAGAGGGAAGCGGAAUUUCCGGUGUAGCGGUGAAAUGCGUAGAUAUCGGGGGGAACACCUGUGGCGAAGGCGGCGAUCUGGGUAGAUACUGACGCUGAGGUGCGAAAGCGUGGGGAGCAAACAGG
rnacentral:rRNA from 1 species